rnacentral:rRNA from 1 species
GCAGGCCUAACACAUGCAAGUCGAGCGGUAGCACAGAGAGCUUGCUCUCGGGUGACGAGCGGCGGACGGGUGAGUAAUGUCUGGGAAACUGCCUGAUGGAGGGGGAUAACUACUGGAAACGGUAGCUAAUACCGCAUAACGUCGCAAGACCAAAGUGGGGGACCUUCGGGCCUCAUGCCAUCAGAUGUGCCCAGAUGGGAUUAGCUAGUAGGUGGGGUAACGGCUCACCUAGGCGACGAUCCCUAGCUGGUCUGAGAGGAUGACCAGCCACACUGGAACUGAGACACGGUCCAGACUCCUACGGGAGGCAGCAGUGGGGAAUAUUGCACAAUGGGCGCAAGCCUGAUGCAGCCAUGCCGCGUGUGUGAAGAAGGCCUUCGGGUUGUAAAGCACUUUCAGCGGGGAGGAAGGCGUUAAGGUUAAUAACCUUGGCGAUUGACGUUACCCGCAGAAGAAGCACCGGCUAACUCCGUGCCAGCAGCCGCGGUAAUACGGAGGGUGCAAGCGUUAAUCGGAAUUACUGGGCGUAAAGCGCACGCAGGCGGUCUGUCAAGUCGGAUGUGAAAUCCCCGGGCUCAACCUGGGAACUGCAUUCGAAACUGGCAGGCUAGAGUCUUGUAGAGGGGGGUAGAAUUCCAGGUGUAGCGGUGAAAUGCGUAGAGAUCUGGAGGAAUACCGGUGGCGAAGGCGGCCCCCUGGACAAAGACUGACGCUCAGGUGCGAAAGCGUGGGGAGCAAACAGGAUUAGAUACCCUGGUAGUCCACGCCGUAAACGAUGUCGAUUUGGAGGUUGUGCCCUUGAGGCGUGGCUUCCGGAGCUAACGCGUUAAAUCGACCGCCUGGGNAGUACGGCCGCAAGGUUAAAACUCAAAUGAAUUGACGGGGGCCCGCACAAGCGGUGGAGCAUGUGGUUUAAUUCGAUGCAACGCGAAGAACCUUACCUGGUCUUGACAUCCACAGAACUUUCCAGAGAUGGAUUGGUGCCUUCGGGAACUGUGAGACAGGUGCUGCAUGGCUGUCGUCAGCUCGUGUUGUGAAAUGUUGGGUUAAGUCCCGCAACGAGCGCAACCCUUAUCCUUUGUUGCCAGCGGUCCGGCCGGGAACUCAAAGGAGACUGCCAGUGAUAAACUGGAGGAAGGUGGGGAUGACGUCAAGUCAUCAUGGCCCUUACGACCAGGGCUACACACGUGCUACAAUGGCAUAUACAAAGAGAAGCGACCUCGCGAGAGCAAGCGGACCUCAUAAAGUAUGUCGUAGUCCGGAUUGGAGUCUGCAACUCGACUCCAUGAAGUCGGAAUCGCUAGUAAUCGUAGAUCAGAAUGCUACGGUGAAUACGUUCCCGGGCCUUGUACAC